GUGCCAGCCGCCGCGGUAAUACGUAGGGAGCAAGCGUUGUUCGGAAUUAUUGGGCGUAAAGAGCGCGUAGGCGGUUCGGUAAGUCUGAUGUGAAAUCCCAGAGCUUAACUCUGGAACUGCAUUGGAUACUGCCGAGCUUGAGUGUGGGAGAGGAGAGUGGAAUUCCCAGUGUAGAGGUGAAAUUCGUAGAUAUUGGGAGGAACACCCGUGGCGAAGGCGGCUCUCUGGACCACAACUGACGCUGAGGCGCGAAAGCUAGGGUAGCAAACGGGAUUAGAAACCCCGGUAGUCC
rnacentral:rRNA from 1 species